rnacentral:rRNA from 1 species
CCUACGGGAGGCAGCAGUGGGGAAUAUUGGGCAAUGGAGGAAACUCUGACCCAGCGACGCCGCGUGAGGGAUGAAGGCCUUCGGGUUGUAAACCUCUUUCAGUAGGGAAGAAGCGAAAGUGACGGUACCUACAGAAGAAGCACCGGCUAACUAUGUGCCAGCAGCCGCGGUGAUACAUAGGGUGCAAGCGUUGUCCGGAAUUAUUGGGCGUAAAGAGCUCGUAGGUGGUUCGAUACGUCGGAUGUGAAAAUCAGGGGCUCAACCCCUGACCUGCAUCCGAUACGGUCGAGCUAGAGUUUGGUAGGGGAGACUGGAAUUCCUGGUGUAGCGGUGGAAUGCGCAGAUAUCAGGAGGAACACCGAUGGCGAAGGCAGGUCUCUGGGCCAAUACCUGACACUGAGGAGCGAAAGCGUGGGGAGCGAACAGGAUUAGAUACCCUGGUAGUCCACGCCGUAAACGGUGGGCGCUAGUUGUGCGAACCUUCCACGGUUUGUGCGACGCNGCUACGACAUAGCGCCCGCCGCGGGAGUACGAGUCGCGAGAGUUAAACGUUAAAGGUAAAGUUAGUUACGGACGUGAGACGUAGCCGACGGACGACGACGAGGGAGGAGG